UACGGAGGGGGCUAGCGUUGUUCGGAAUUACUGGGCGUAAAGCGCGCGUAGGCGGACCUGCAAGUCGGGGGUGAAAGCCCGAGGCUCAACCUCGGAACUGCCUUCGAUACUGCGGGUCUCGAGUCCGGGAGAGGUGAGUGGAAUUCCUAGUGUAGAGGUGAAAUUCGUAGAUAUUAGGAGGAACACCUGUGGCGAAAGCGGCGCACUGGACCACAACUGACGCUGAGGCGCGAAAGCUAGGGGAGCAAACAGG
rnacentral:rRNA from 1 species